CCUACGGGGGGCUGCAGUGGGGAAUAUUGGACAAUGGGGGCAACCCUGAUCCAGCCAUGCCGCGUGUGUGAAGAAGGCCCUCGGGUUGUAAAGCACUUUCAGUGAGGAAGAACGCCUGGUGGUUAAUACCCAUCAGGAAAGACAUCACUCACAGAAGAAGCACCGGCUAACUCCGUGCCAGCAGCCGCGGUAAUACGGAGGGUGCGAGCGUUAAUCGGAAUUACUGGGCGUAAAGCGCGCGUAGGUGGCUUGAUAAGCCGGUUGUGAAAGCCCCGGGCUCAACCUGGGAACGGCAUCCGGAACUGUCAAGCUAGAGUGCAGGAGAGGAAGGUAGAAUUCCCGGUGUAGCGGUGAAAUGCGUAGAGAUCGGGAGGAAUAACAGUGGCGAAGGCGGCCUUCUGGACUGACACUGACACUGAGGUGCGAAAGCGUGGGUAGCAAACAGGAUUAGAUACCCCGGUAGUC
rnacentral:rRNA from 1 species